rnacentral:rRNA from 1 species
AUGAACGCUGGCGGCGUGCCUAAUACAUGCAAGUCGAGCGAGAGACCCUUCGGGGAAUCGAGCGGCGAACGGGUGAGUAACACGUAGGUAACCUGCCUUUUAGUUUGGGAUACCCGAUGGAAACGUCGGCUAAUACCGGAUACGUACUUUGGAGGCAUCUCCGAAGUAUAAAAGGGGCCUUAAAGCCUCGCUAAUAGAUGGACCUGCGGCGCAUUAGUUAGUUGGUGAGAUAACAGCCCACCAAGACGAGGAUGCGUAGCCGACCUGAGAGGGUGAUCGGCCACAUUGGGACUGAGACACGGCCCAGACUCCUACGGGAGGCAGCAGUAGGGAGUUUUCGGCAAUGGGGGAAACCCUGACCGAGCAACGCCGCGUGAGUGAUGAAGGUCUUCGGAUCGUAAAGCUCUGUUGUGAAAGACGAAUGACAGACCGAGGAAAUGCGGUUUGUUUGACGGUACUUCACCAGAAAGCCACGGCUAACUACGUGCCAGCAGCCGCGGUAAUACGUAGGUGGCAAGCGUUAUCCGGAAUUAUUGGGCGUAAAGAGUGAGCAGGCGGUUGCGUAAGUCUGAAGUCAAAUCCUGUGGCUUAACCACAGUUCGCUUUGGAAACUGCGCGGCUAGAGUGCGAGAGAGGUAAGUGGAAUUCCAUGUGUAGCGGUGAAAUGCGUAGAUAUAUGGAGGAACACCAGUGGCGAAGGCGGCUUACUAGCUCGAUACUGACGCUCAGUCACGAAAGCGUGGGUAGCAAAUAGGAUUAGAUACCCUAGUAGUCCACGCCGUAAACGAUGAGAACUAAGUGUUGGGGAAACUCAGUGCUGAAGUUAACACAUUAAGUUCUCCGCCUGGGGAGUACGCUCGCAAGAGUGAAACUUAAAGGAAUUGACGGGGGCCCGCACAAGCGGUGGAGCAUGUGGUUUAAUUCGAUGCAACGCGAAGAACCUUACCUGGUCUUGACAUCCACAGAACUUUCCAGAGAUGGAUUGGUGCCUUCGGGAACUGUGAGACAGGUGCUGCAUGGCUGUCGUCAGCUCGUGUUGUGAAAUGUUGGGUUAAGUCCCGCAACGAGCGCAACCCUUGUCCUUAGUUGCCAUCAUUCAGUUGGGAACUCUAAGGAGACUGCCGAUGUAAGUCGGAGGAAGGUGGGGAUGACGUCAAAUCAUCAUGCCCUUUAUGCCCUGGGCUACACACGUGCUACAAUGGCCGGUACAAAGAGACGCGAAACCGCGAGGUCAAGCAAAUCUCAUAAAGCCGGUCUCAGUUCGGAUUGGAGUCUGCAACUCGACUCCAUGAAGCUGGAAUCGCUAGUAAUCGCGAAUCAGCAAUGUCGCGGUGAAUACGUUCCCGGGCCUUGUACACACCGCCCGUCAAACCAUGAGAGCUGGUAAUACUCGAAGUCGUUAUCCUAACCCGUAAGGGAGGGAGACGCCUAAGGUAGGACUGGUGAUUGGGGUU